CAUUUCUACCCACCGGAACGGCGCCGGCGUCGGCGUCCUAUCCACCACCGUACCUCAGCUCGCAUUCUGGCCUCCACUUCUCUCUCCUCACUGCUCGCUCGCCAUCGAUUCAUAGAUGUUGUUUUAUUGAUUUGUAUGAAUGGUGAAUGAAGAUGUGAUGAAGCAGGAAAGCAGGCAAUAAUUCAACUGCUGUUACCUGGAUCUAGCAAAUAUUCAAGGGAAACAGGCAAAAAUUGAAGUGCUGUUAGCAGGAUAAAGAACAAUAAUAGCAUAUAUUUAAGCACGUACGUACGAGAGGACUUUGUUGACUCCAGAAACCGCAUCAAAGAUUUCGACGGCCAAAUUUGAAGGAGCUCCGUAGAAGACUCGGCCAACAGCAGCAACGGUAGGGAAUUGAACGGCAAAGAUAAUUUCUACCAUUUUGGUCUAUUUUUGAGAGGUCCAUAUUAAUUUUUAGAUUAAUUAUUUUCCUUAAUUUAAGAGUUUUUGUUGGGAUUAGGAGUGUAUAAAUAGUAGUGAUUUUCUGUAGUUGAGGGAAUCAGACUAUCUGUUUUAUUUUAUAUUUUCAUACAAUUUUUUUUUUCUUUUCUUGUUAAGUUUUUGGUUCAUGGCCCUGCGAGGCUAAUUCUUAAACUUGGUCAAGAUUAUGUGAACCCCGGUUCUCUGUACUGAGAGACAAAGUUCUGUUUUAUUGAGUUAAUUUAUCUGCAA